rnacentral:misc_RNA from 1 species
GCAUAUACACACUCGUGCUGGCACACAGCAAUAGGAGUAGAUCAUCAAAGAGUAGAUAAGCAGCUCUGACGGUUAAGCAACGCAACAAAGAUGAAGAACAGUGUUGCUCGAACGCAGCCGGAGAAGCACUUUGCACAUGCACCGCAAAGCGAAAAUUUGCCGUUGGCAAUCGGCGCCGAUUUUCACGACGACCCCAUCAAUCGAAGCACAUUGAGAAAAAGCCAUAACUUGCUUCUCGAGAGGAAAACAGACCACGCACCUCACACAAAAUACUGCUACAAUGGCCAACCAUUCGAAAUGUCUCGCACCGCCGCUGAGGCUGCUGCUGCCGAGGACGAAGCGGCUGUAUGGAAGGGGUGGUUCUCUGAGGAUUUCACCAAAGAGGAUUUAGAUGAUUUUGUCGUUCGAAUGCUGGGGUACUUUACCGAAGAUGUCUCAGAGAGCUGCGCAGAGAAAGAGCGUGUGCGCAAGGUGUGCAUCAGCUUUUUUGUAAAGGAUGAUAGUCUUUCUAUCACUGAAAUUGGCCAGAGGAACAGCGGCCUGGGUGAGUCGAAAAUCCUUUCUCGGCGUCAGGUUCCCAAAGACAUGCGGAACCCUAAUGAUCUGCUUCUUCUUAGUGACUUUCGAAUCGGGGAUUCUGUGAACAUUUACGGCCAGACGUUCUACAUCGUCGAUAUGGACAAACGGAGCCGCCGUUACUUUCGCGAGGUUCUGGAGAAGGACGUUCCGGAUGCGCAGAGCAUUCCGCAGGAUUCUUUCAGCCGCGCAGCUGCGGCCUCGGCGGAAAGGUCGACGAAACGAGUGGUGACCUCGGACGAUAUGGACCGCAAGCGCGCCAUCGAGCAGCAGCUAACGGGUAUUUACACGAAGCAUUCUACAGAGGAUAUUGCAAUCACGAAGGAGUUCUUGAAGAAUAAGAUCAACGAGCAUUUGACCUAUUUGGCGCUCUGGGAUGAUCGCGGCAACCUUAGCGGUGACUUACACUACUGUGUCAUUAGAGUAUUUCUGGAAAACAACACAAUUGAGAUUGCCGAACGUAGGCCAGAGAACAGCGGCCGAUGGGGAGGGCCGAUCUUGAUUCACCGCCAGCGAAUCCCACACCCGUCCGCCGACUUGACGCAGAGCAGGUAUCAGCAGCAUACGUACGGCAAGCUGAUGAAAAACGAUUAUUUGUGCCCCGAGGAUAUUCAAGUCGGCGAAACAUAUAUGAUUUACGGGAAGCCGUUUUAUGUGUACGACAGUGACUCUUUCACCCGCAAUUACGUCAGAGAGAAGUACCAGGUAAUCAUCAGGGACGCUAUAGAUAUCGCCCCUUUUGAGACACCGAAGAAGCAGACCUCGGUCUUCUACCCGCCUCCGCCGAACGGGUUCGGUAGCGAGCGUGAAACGCGAAGCAACUGGCUCUCUUUGGUUGGCAAGCCGGCAAGGGUCGACGAUGAGAUGGCGCAGCGCGAAUCUGGGCGAGUGAUGAAGUUUUCCGCAAAGCUUGCCAAACCGAUUGUUGCCGGCGACGAAAGCAGAGAGUUUGUGGUUUCAUUUCAUUGUGAAACCAGGGAGCUGGAGAUCUUCGAAAAGCCGAAUCGAAAUUCGGGCAUGUUGGGGGGCCGAUUUCUUGCAAAGGGAGCGCACCGAAAGGACAUGCUGAAUGGGACCACGGUACCAUUUACUCCUGAUGAUUUUCAGGUAGGUCGGGUGAUCGAAAUUUAUCGGCGUCCAUUCCUGCUCACUGGCCUCGACGCGGGAACGCAGAGAAUUCUCGAUGGCACUGACAAGGUCGUCACCGAGGACCGCAUCAAGUGCCUCGUGGUGCUGUUGAAGCAGCAGCUGAAUCUUAAGUUCUCUCGCGCAAACGAGGCAUUUCUUGCGCUUGCACCACAAGGCACUCUUGGCUACGCUCAGGUGAAGGAGUUUCUGCGUGCGUGCAGCUGCAGCAUCACUGACGAAGAGGCGCUUCUGGUUGUGCAGAACUUGUCCCCUGGCACCAAUGGCGUGAUCAACUACGACGACUUCCUUCAAAUUGUGGACGUUUCUUCUGAUUCGAUGGACGAGGCCUCCCUUACAACUCGGUCUAUCCGCAGCGUAAACAUGACCAAGAAUGAUCAGCUGAAACUUGCCGCCACCGCUUCCGAAGAGAAGCAGCGACGCAAGCAGCUCCGUGAUGUGCUGCAGUUCAAGCUUAUUCAGCGAAAGGGAAGUGUGCAAGAGCAGUUUCGCUUGUUGAGCGAUCAUAGCGCCAAUUCGAGACUCAACCGCAACACGUUUCGCAUCUCCCUCAACACUGUACUGCACUUCAACAUGAACAAGAAUGACGAGGAUACACUGGUGUCUCUGCUUUUCGACGGUGUCGAGGACGAAAACGGGGACAUUACGUACAAGCAGUUCCAAGAGUUCGUGGACUCUGUUGACAACUGAUGAGCUGGCUAGCGGAUCUCGCGCUCAGCAGUUCUUUCUUCUCUAAAAUGUACCGAGUUUCCGGCCUGCCUUUCGUUGUCUCAGCGGAGUGUUGAACAUGUGUGCAUAUAGUGAAUGUGCUGGGCGAUGAAUGUAUCAUAGUGCUGCACACCGUUUGCUUCUCGCGACGGCAGUGCUUCUUUUUCUACUUUUAGUUUGACAUGUACCAUACCCGUUUUCGGCGCCUUCUAGGUGGUAGCCAGAAAACUG